GGAGGGGGCUAGCGUUGUUCGGAAUUACUGGGCGUAAAGCGCGCGUAGGCGGGCUGGUCAGUUGGGGGUGAAAUCCCGGGGCUUAACCUCGGAACUGCCCUCAAUACUACCAGUCUAGAGAUCGAGAGAGGUAAGUGGAAUUCCUAGUGUAGAGGUGAAAUUCGUAGAUAUUAGGAAGAACACCAGUGGCGAAGGCGGCUUACUGGCUCGAUACUGACGCUGAGGCGCGAAAGCGUGGGGAGCAAACAGGAUUAGAUACCCUGGUAGUCCACGCCGUAAACGAUGGGUGCUAGUUGUCGGGCGGCAUGCCGUUCGGUGACGCAGCAAACGCGUUAAGCACCCCGCCUGGGGACUACGGUCGCAAGACUA
rnacentral:rRNA from 1 species